rnacentral:misc_RNA from 1 species
UCAACUUAUCCUCAAUUGGUACCAUUGACUUAAAAUAAUCUUUUAGAUCAAGUGAGCUGUUCUUACCAAUAAUCAAUGGUUUCUGCCAUGAUAAUUUGUUUAUACAUGGUAUUUAAUGUUACUGGAUCAACAACACCAGUUAUUUUCUCAGAAUAAUGAGUUUUUGAAAUGUGAAUCUCAGAAUUUGAUGCACCUCUCUUAGUCAAGUAAUAAAGGAAUGAGUAAAAAAUUAUUACCGGCUUGAGAAUCAAAACGGGGCUUGACAACUAGUAGGCUGUAUUUUGGUGAAAUGUGCUGAAUCUUAUGGUUUCAAGGUUGAUUCAUGUAGUUUAUGUUGAUGUAUGUCAGGUUCAGUUAUAGUCGUUAUUAAAUGACGUUAUAUGUCUGUUAGUUGUCACUGAAUAAUGUCAAGGAUGGCCUUUGCUUUUCCUUUUCCUGUUGUUUGUUGGAUGUGAAAUGAAGUGCAAACCAAUAAAUGUAUUACUGCUGGAUUGUACUGGCUGUACAUGCUUUAAAGAGUGUUUGUCUUAGCUUAUAAGUUGGUCAAAUUAGACCAGCUUAAAAGCCCUAAAAAUACAUUUACCUGUUUGUUUAUAAUAUUUUUUAGGCUUAUAAACUAUUAAAAAGAAAAAAAAAGAGCUGAGGGGACCAGCUUUUCAUUUUGAUGCUUAGAAGCUAAUUUGACUAAGUAUUUUAUCAUAUUAUCCUUAUUUAAUUUAUAAAAUUUCACCAUUAAUCUCAUUUAAUUUCAUUUUUAGUC